AUCGAACGCUGGCGGCAGGCCUAACACAUGCAAGUCGAGCGUGCGGCGGACGGGUGAGUAAUUUAUGGGGAUCUGCCCGAUAGAGGUGGAUAACUACUGGAAACGGUGUCUAAUACCACAUACUAUCGGAUGAACCCAUAUGUGAUUAGCUAGUGGGUGGGGUAAAGGCUCACCUAGGCGACGAUCCCUAGCUGGUCUGAGAGGAUGAACGGCCACACUGGGACGGAGACACGGCCCAGACUCCGACGGGAGGCAGCAGUGGGGAAUAUUGCACAAUGGACGAAAGCCUGAUGGAGCAAUGCCGCGUGUGUGAAGAAGGCCUUAGGGUUGUAAAGUACUUUCGGCGGGGAGGCGGUAACCAAAGAGGAAGCAACGGCUAACUCCGUGCCAGCAGCCGCGGUAAUAC
rnacentral:rRNA from 1 species